rnacentral:rRNA from 1 species
AGUGAACGCUGGCGGUAGGCCUAACACAUGCAAGUCGAACGGCAGCACAGUAAGAGCUUGCUCUUACGGGUGGCGAGUGGCGGACGGGUGAGGAAUACAUCGGAAUCUACUUUUUCGUGGGGGAUAACGUAGGGAAACUUACGCUAAUACCGCAUACGACCUACGGGUGAAAGCAGGGGAUCUUCGGACCUUGCGCGAUUGAAUGAGCCGAUGUCGGAUUAGCUAGUUGGCGGGGUAAAGGCCCACCAAGGCGACGAUCCGUAGCUGGUCUGAGAGGAUGAUCAGCCACACUGGAACUGAGACACGGUCCAGACUCCUACGGGAGGCAGCAGUGGGGAAUAUUGGACAAUGGGCGCAAGCCUGAUCCAGCCAUACCGCGUGGGUGAAGAAGGCCUUCGGGUUGUAAAGCCCUUUUGUUGGGAAGGAAAAGCAGCAGGUUAAUACCCCACUGUUCUGACGGUACCCAAAGAAUAAGCACCGGCUAACUUCGUG